AACUGGUUGGUAUCACUAGACAGAAAAGACUAGUCACUCAUUUGUGAAAACUGCCACCUGAAAUUUCUAGUAGGCUCUGCACUCCAUGCUUUCCAAUUUGAAUGUUUGACUUAAUAUUAAGAUCAAACGCUUUAUUAAAAACAUUUGAAGCGCCCUCCUAUUAUACUCAUAAAUAGAGCCUUUAAACACACAUAGCACCGAGUGUUUUUGUCUCUCAGGAAUCUGCACAGCACAGCCUUAACGCUCACGUCGCCGGUUUCUCUUCUAUCUCUGAGAAGGGUGCUCUGGAAAAUGCAAACCCUAUCCAUUUCUCACCGUUUGUCUCCCUCAACCCACUGGCUGUUUCCGUCGCCGGUCACCGCCAUUCCCUGCAGAACCCCCAGCUCUCUUCCUUGCCUCCGUACUCUGCAGUGCUGCUUUCUCCAAUCUCCAUCUCUGGGUCCUUCUUACUCUCUCUCUCUCUCUCUCUCUCUCUCUUUCUCUCUCUCUCUAUAUAUAUAUAUAUUCCCAUUAUGCAAUCCCACUACAGACCCCCAGUGACAUGGCCAUGCGGUGGCAGCUGAUGUGUAAACAUAGCUGGAAAAAAAAAAAAAUUUGAAAAAGCGGGAACCAAACCUGUGGGUCGUCCAUCCUCACCUCUCGCCGCCAACCUCGUCUAUCCUAGUCUGUCUUCCCUCGCCUAUCCUCACCUCUCGCCGCCAUCCUCCUCCUCCACCAUAGCUCGCCGGGAAUUUCUGCAAAAGUGUAUUCUGGACAACGGCCAUAGAUUUGAGCAAUAUCAGAUUACUCGCUCUCAUCUAUCCUCAGAUUAUAGAGGUCGUCACAGGUGGCCCAUGGUUUUGAGCAAAAGUUUUGAGCAAUAUUAGUUUUGAGCAAUAUCAGAUUACACUUUUGAAUGGUAAUAUCUCCAUAGCUCGCUCUCAUCUAUCCUCGAUCUUCGUCGCUCUCAUCAAUCUGUUGUCCUCUGUCCAUCAAUCUGGUUUUGCUCUGUCCGGUUUUGCUCUGCUCUGUCUCUGUCCAUCAAUCUGGUUUAUGAGUUAUGGAUGAGACAAAGUUUUUCGAGGUUUCAAGAAAGGGAAACUUAAUUCCGCUUCGCAAAUGCAUUUUAUUGGAUCACUUAACUCCGGUGCUUGCUUAUAGAUGAUUGGUUAAAGAAGAUGCCCAAGAAACUCCGAGCUUUCUGUUUGAAUCGGUGGAGCCUGGUUCUUCGUGCUUCAACUGUUGGUGGUUAUAGCGUGGUUGGAGCUCAGCCAGCCAUGGAAAUUGUGGCAAAAGAAAAUAAGGUUACAAUUUUGGACCACGAGAAAGGGUGAAUAACCAAGAAGGUUGUUGAUGAUCCAAUGGCGGUUCCAAGAAGUAUUCCAAGAAAUAUUUCCAACUCUCUGAAAAGCCACUUACAACGGUUGAAGCACGAAGAACCAGGCUCCACCGAUUCAAACAGAAAGCUCGGAGUUUCUUGGCAUCUUCUUUAACCAAGCAUCUGUAAGCAAGCACCGGAGUCAAGUGAUUCGAUAAAAUGCAUUUGCGAAGCGGAAUUAAGUUUUCCUUUCUUGAAGCCUCGAAAAACUGUGUCUCAUCCAUAACUGAAGAAAACCCAACCACAACAUUAAAUUCAACUGUAAUUGAGACCCAAUUCAGGAAUGCAAAGAAAUCAAAAUUCAUAUCUUUACACAACAUUUUUCUUA